GGAGAAGUAGAGCGUAAGUGGAAGCGUGGACGGCUGUAACCCGUUCGUCUCUGACCUUGGAGGUUCGAUCCCUUCCUUCUCCACCA
rnacentral:tRNA from 1 species